GUAGUACACCCUCCGUCCGGAAAUACUUGUCAUCAAAAUGAAUAAAAGGGGAUGUAUCUAGAUGUAUAUUAGUUCUAGAUACAUCUUUUUAUCCAUUUUGAUGACAAGUAUUUUCGGACGGAGGGAGUACUUG
rnacentral:pre_miRNA from 1 species